rnacentral:sRNA from 1 species
UCCGGCCUGACCCCUGUCCAGCGCCUUUCCUUUCUCCAGCUUCUGCUCUGCCCCAAGAGUGGUCGCCUUCGUGGCAGGGCACGACUCUCUCCCAGCUCGGGUCGCCGCCCACAUUAGUGUGGGGCCCUGCGGCCUAGCGUCCCUCACCAGAGGCCUCCCCUUGCCCAGCUGGACCGCCGAGAGACAUCGACGAGUACCCUCCUCCUGCUGUCCCCGGCUUCGCCUGCCGCCCCUAACCGGCCAGUCAAGAUGGCCGCCGCUGGGUGAGGCAAGCUGGCGCGCCGCGGGGGCGUCUGGGAGUUGUAGUUCGGGACGGCGGGCUGACGCACUUCGCCGCCGGCCGACGGGCGCCAUUGUGCGGCGCGCGCCGGAACAUCAGCUUUCCAAACCAGAUGUGGUAUCUCAGUUAGAGGAGGCAGAAGAUUUCUGGCCAGUGGAGAGAGGAAUUCCUCAAGACACCAUUCCAG